rnacentral:miRNA from 1 species
AUCAUGAAAGGCUACCUCAC